UAUUGGUCAAUGGCCUAACGGCUGAACCAGCAACUUGGAGGAAUGUAUAGAGAAAGCUGGUAAAAUGCGAUGUAUCUAGUAGUAUUAGAAAUUAAUAUGAUAUUAACUAAGUUAAUUAAAAUUCAAAGUAGAUAUCUGAUAAUGACAGUAUUUGCUUAUGUCUUGACCAAAUCACGUGCCAGCAGUCGCGGUAAGACGUGGAAGAUAAGUGUUAUUCAUGUUUAACAGGUUUAAAGGGUACCUAGACGGUUAAUUAAACACUGUAAUGUAUUAGUUAACUAGAGUUUGAUAUAAGAAGGAUUGAGUACGGUGAGUGUAGAGAUAAAAUUCUAUUAUACCAUUAUGGAACUGGUAAAGGCGAAGGCAACCUUCUAUGUAAAAACUGACGUUGAAGGACGAAGGA
rnacentral:rRNA from 1 species